rnacentral:misc_RNA from 1 species
AAUAGGAGUUAAUCUCAAAACCUAUAUAAAGGGUUGACAGGUAUGGUUAUCUUAACUCAUCAAAGAGGUUGCCAAACCAACCCGCCUGUAUCGCAGGUCCAAGACCUGUGGAGUUGUGAGAACAGCAUCAAGUAUCCCAUUCAUAUUUCCUAAUCAAUCAUUUUAUCCCCCUCAUUUCACACAAGGGUCACGUUCACACCGUGAAAAUUAACUCCUAAAGUUACCUGGUCUCACCCUAAGGUCUGUUUGGAUGAGGUUGAGAGA